rnacentral:misc_RNA from 1 species
CCUUCUCAAAAGAUAAUUUAUUAUUUUUUGGUUGUGGGCGAUACUCAGGGUUAGCUUGAAAUUGGAGACUGUUUCAGUCUUUUUUAAUUCAACACUUAGCUUCUUUGGAGACGCUGUUCUCGCUGUGAUGUAUUUAUGGAUUUAUUCGUUUUACUUUACAAGGGAAAUGGUAACGUACCUUAGGCAAAGGGUUGCUUUUAAUAUUCAUCAA